UUAGUACUCCCUCUGUCCCAAAAUUCUUGUCUUAGGUUUGUCUAGAAAUAAAUGUAUCUGAAUACUAAAACAUGACUAGAUACAUUUAUAUCUAGAUAAAUUCAAGACAAGAAUUUUGAGACGAAGGGAGCAUUGA
rfam:Hordeum vulgare subsp. vulgare, WGS project CAJW01000000 data, contig: morex_contig_1581996